AUAACCUCAAAUAAAUGCAAGAAGUGGAUUGUUGUGACAGAAAAUCCGUGAAAAAUGCCUGGAAAAGUGAAAGUGAAGGUUCUGGCGGGUCGCAAUCUGCCCGUAAUGGACAGAAGUAGCGACACAACGGAUGCCUUUGUGGAGAUAAAGCUCGGGGGGAUAACGCACAAGACAGAUGUCUGCCGGAAGAGUCUCAAUCCGCAGUGGAAUUCAGAUUGGUACAGAUUUGAGAUGGAUGAUGCUGAACUCCAGGAUGAGCCGUUGCAAAUUCGUCUCAUGGACUACGACACAUACUCUGCCAAUGAUGCCAUUGGCAAGGUACAUCCCAUUUGUCUCAAUCCAAUGCUCAUUCCGGGAGCUGCAAUUGACCCAUCCGGACAAUCAGGGCAUGGGCAUGGGAAGGGAUCCGUCAUGUCCGGAUGGUUUCCUGUGUAUGACACAAUGCACGGCAUUCGGGGUGAGGUGAAUCUCAUCAUCAAGGUGGAUCUCUUCUCGGAUGUCAACAAAUUCCGUCAGAGCUCCUGUGGCGUGCAAUUCUUUCACUCCCCCAACAUCCCUCAUGGGUAUCAUGCUCCUGCUAUUCAUGGUUUCGUGGAGGAGCUCGUUGUGAAUGACGAUCCAGAGUAUCAGUGGAUUGAUAAAAUUCGCACACCGAGAGCUUCCAACGAAGCCCGUCAGGUUGUCUUCCUCAAACUCUCCGGAGAGGUUCAACGGAAGAUUGGUCUGAAGGCUCUGGAUAUGGGAGCAAAUGCCGUAAUUGGUUACAAACUCUGCCUGGAUCUGGAAGGGGAUGUUGGUGUUGUGGCUCGGGGGAUUGGAACUGCUGUCACGCUCAUAAAGAUCCCCGAUGCUCCCCAGCAAGUUGCGGAUUCUGCCCUAAUUGAAGAGAAUGAAGCGGCAUCGUCGUCUGGUGGAGCCAAUCCCGCCAGUCCGGGAGCCAAGGUGACAACUGGGCACACCCGGGCUGAAUCUACAGGCUCCAGAAUGACCCAAAGUCCCGCCAAGAGUGGUGCUGCUGCUGUUCCCAGUUCAACUUGCAAAGAUUCCGGUAUCUAUCGCCGAUCAUCCGACUCGGAUCUCAGUGUGACGCCCAAAGGAAACUCCUUGACUUCCUGCGAGAGAGGAACUCCUGCUGUGACAAGAGUUGUGGGAGCUACAAUGAAGAGUGCCAAUGCAGACAAUCUCGAUAUGCUCGAAUAUCCCUUCCUGACGCUCGAUAAAUACCCACCGGGCUUUAUAAUUCAUCUGGGAUCAGCUGUUUGUUCCCGUUCGGUAAAGCUCUUGGAGCGUGUGCCAAAUCCCGAUGAGCCAGAAUGCCGUGAUAGCUGGUGGACGGAGCUGAGGAUGGAGAUUCGUUCUCAUGCCAGAGCUCUUGGAUGCAACGUUGUUUUGGGCUAUUUGGAGACAACGACAAUCACUGAGGAUGUGUGCGUUCUCUCAGCCACGGGGACAGCUGCUCUUAUCAAUUUCCCCUACUCUAGUGAACAGCCCGUGAGGAUGACAUCAUCCCUGGAUCGUGUGGAAUUCGAGAAAGAUGUCAAGGAGGGGAUAAAAGAGCUAAAAAUUGCAGGAUCAACGGCGAAGAUAAUUGAAGGAGUUGCCACGAAGCCAAUUGAGGAGGUUCCUGAGGGUGGAAGUGACAAGGAAGCUCCACCAGCUGCAUGCCCACCGAGUGCUUCCACCUCCCUGGCGUGUGCACUCCUUCAUCUACCUUAUGCUGCCAAUUCUGUUCCCUUCAGCGUGACUCUGGACACGUGCGCUGUGUGCCGACGUGCAAAGGUGCCAAAUGUCUUCCUGGCCACAAUUGAGAUUCCCGAUGGGUUGCAAAUAACAGGCCGUGGAUGCUUGGUGCAGGCUCAAGUGUGUCGGCAGAAGAGAGACCUCAAAGGAGAAUCAAAUGCCAAGGAGAUUUCCGAUGGGCUUCCCUUUCUUGAGUACGAGCUCUAUCGUGUGCUGAUCAACAAGAUGAAGGUCAAGGGAAUGAAUGCAAUCUUCGGUCUCAAAUGCUCAAUAGCUGUUGGUGAGAAGAUGAUGACAAUUGUAGCCACGGGAACGGCUGUCUAUCUCAGUGCACUCCCAGCUGCAGCCCUGCCCAAGAUUGUUGGGGCUGAACGUGCAGGAUCCAAUCCGGAGAAGCUAAAUGAGAUUCAGCGAACACUCCAGGAUACAAUUGAGAAGAAUCGUGAGAUUUAUCAGCUCAAAACCUUCGGGGACGUUGAUCCGCGUCCCUUGUCUGAGAGUGAAGAGAGCGACGAUGAGCUGGCUGAGAUGGAUCUCAAUGUUGGCAAUAAGGAUGCCUGUAUCCUCGAAGUGGAUGACAUUGAGGAUCUCGAAGUGAUUUCUCUGCUCAUGGAACCCUGCCCUCCAGAAGGAUUCCACGUGGUGAACACCCAAACAGUUCCUGGACUGCUGGAUUUGGAAGUUGUGCGGAAUCUGCAGUAUUUUGCUCAAGUUUGGCGUGGACACAUCAAUCAACAAACUCAUUUGGCCAAAAAUCUUCAACGUCUCCUGCAGUGUAUCUACUACAAGCUCAGGAGUAUGAUUCCUUGCGCAAUUUGUGAUCUUCGCUUCACAAUUGAUCUUCCGGAAGCAGAUUGGAUUCAAGUUCUCGUCACAGGGAUGGCUCUGGGGCUGGGAGAACCAUCCAAGAUGAUCAAAAAUAAGCGAAGACUCCUGUCUAAUUCUGCCAGCAAGGAGGGAAUCAAGAAAGGAGAAGAAGAGCUGAUUUUUAAUCUUGAGGAGGAUCAUGUUUUUGAGACGGUAACAUCGGCAGCUGCAGGAGUAUCCCAAAGUCUGACGCACACCCCAACAACUCACAAUCCUCCAACACAAUUUGCUCAAACAGGCUCCCUGAAGCUAAGGAAUAAGUCUCCAACGAGAGGAAAAGCCCCCACGAGGCUUUCAAGACAUAUGCCUGUCCGGGAGCGCUAUGGAGUCGAUGUGACACCCUUAAGCUACGUUCCGGGUGGAAGAAUUGAAAAAUAUCUGGGAAAUCUCAAUUUCUUCUUCAUCCGCGAGAGUACAUCAAUCCGGGAAAAUGGUGGAAUCUGUGGAUUUGUCCAUGGAUUCGUAACGGAACUUCUGGCUGUUGUCCGGGCGCAUGUAACUGCCCUCGGUGGGAAUGCAAUGGUUUCCUUCUACAUGACUGAGCUUCUUCUAAAUGAGAGCGUCCAUAAGAAUCAGGGCCAGAGUCUUAUCAGUGUUGGUGGAGACGUUGUCUUUGUUUCUUACUACACAGAUGAAUGAACUUCCUUUUCCGGAAGGAGAUUUUUAAAGGCACAAAUGAGGAGAUGUUUCAGUGCGGCCUAGUCUUAAGAUGAUAUAAAUCUUCCUAUUUUAAUGUUUUCCCAGUAUCCUUGCCACUCCUGACUUCAACAUUUACGGAGGAAGCAGGAAGAUGAUUUUUAUUGGCAAAAAUAAUAGAGACUGUUCUGAAUAAUAAUACAAAGAUUGUAAAAGUACGACUGGAAAAAAAAAAAAAAAAAAAAAAAAAAAUUUACUCUGCGUUGAUACCACUGCUU